AUCUUAUCAAGAGCGCGGGGAGAGUUCUGGCUUUAUGAUCCGCCGACAACCUAUUCCGGUGAAAACCAAAGAACAAGGUGCCACAUCCAGCCUCUUUGAGAGGAAAGAUGAAUC
rnacentral:ncRNA from 2 species